AGUCUCUACACCACAGAUAAAAAGGGGGGUUCUCUUAUUUCCUUAUGAAGUCAGGCUUGGCUUUUUCAGUUGUCAGUAGUGACAACUCCUGUGCUGUGUUGGACUCAGUUCAGUCUGUGCUGACAGAAGCUGAAUGGUAAACAUGGAACACAUUUACACCAACAUUGAAGAUACCUUCAAGCCACCCAACUGCUACAAAGGUGGGGAAGCAGAACUGCAGAGCAAAGGAAACCUGGGAGUUCUGGAAUCAGAGGAGAAGUCCCAAAGAGACAGCUCUCCGUACAAGAUCCUGGCCCUCAUCUGCUCGGGUUUGAGCUGUGUGCUCCUGAUAACCACUGUCGUCUUCAGUUCUUAUUAUUUCCUCAGGCAACCAACAUUUACCCAAGUUCUACUCCAAAACACCUCCUGUGUGCAAACAAAUUGUUCAUCUUCAAACUGGAGCUCUUCUGCUUUAAAACAAGAACUGUGGAUGAUGCUGGAGGACAUGUACAACAGCUGUUUGAACCUGCAAGACAAUUCGACUGAUGUUCAUGAAGAAGCUAAACGCUGUAGCGACAUCAUAAAUAGACACAACCUGGUCCAACUAUGCAACAGCAACUAUACGAUAGGUUGGUACAAGUGUGGAUUUUCAAAGUUUUC
rnacentral:lncRNA from 1 species